rnacentral:sRNA from 1 species
CCCUAGCCCUGAUAGAAAUGGUUACCCCACAGCUUGCAUUGGAAAGCCCGAAGGAUUGAGCGUGGCAAAGCGCAGGCGCGAGGAGUAUGAAUGGAUAGCAGGAUAAAGC